rnacentral:lncRNA from 1 species
GAAGGGGCUGGUGGUGGACACCAUGUGAAUGACCCACCCUGAAAAUGACUUGAAAGUUACAAGGGCAGAGCUCCAGCUGACGGCAAAAAGGAGACAGGCCAACUGUAAGGUUUCCACUUUGUGACCCAGGUUUAAUCUUCUUACAGUGUGCACUGCACACACAUUCACACAUAUACAAAUACACAUGUGCACAUUCAAACACAAGCACACAAAUUCGCAUGUGCACAUACACACAUGCAAACAUAUAAACACAUAUGUACACAUGGAAACACACAAAAACACACACACACAAAUACACACCUAUGCAGACACAGGUACAUAUACAUACACAUACAUGCACACAUACACACACAAACAUACACACACAUAUACACAAACACACACAUGUACACACACAACACAGCAGUGCUUACUCAGAGGGAAUUACAGCAGAAGCAGCAGGAGGUGUUUACUUCUCACUUGAUACACAAAACCCAGGCAGAGAAAAACAUGUACUUAUUAUUAGCACAACUUAUAAAAUCUUGCUCGGGUGUGCAAAAUUAGUAAUACAAGGAAGUGGAACUAUUUUAUGGCCAGGGUUUUCUGACCACUAUGUCAAUUAAUUUAUAUAGACCCAUACAUCCUAUAUUAAGUGUAACUUUCAUUCCCUCUUUCCCGUGGUGAAUGACCCAAAACUUUUAGAAAACUCUUCAGACAAGCAAUAAAAUAAAUUCAUCGUUGUGCA